rnacentral:lncRNA from 1 species
UGACUUACAAAUUGAGAAAGACAAAAGAAUAUGAUCUAAUUGAGAUUGGUUAAAGACUGUCCGAAGAUAGCAAGGGGAAAAACUCAAGGGCGGUUCGAUUAGGUUCUAUAGUGCAUGCCCACCAAAAAUGUGGGUUGGCUCUUUAUGCUAAAGUCAACUUAUAAUGUGCACCACAAUAUAUUAUAAAUUGUGUACUUGUGCUUGUCUUGUGAGAAAUGUCUAGUUGUACUUUUUGUUUCUUAUUUGUUC